UGCACAAUAGCUCAGUGGUAAGAGCACCACAGUGUGUUAUGGGAGGUUGCUGGUUCAAUUCCAGCUGUGCCA
rnacentral:tRNA from 1 species